AGCAUGCCAAGACAUGUCUCGCAAAAAAGUUGUCUAUUUCUUACAAUAUUUAUCAUACUUGCUACUACUACGACCCUAUGGAAAUAUCAUUACUCAAUUGGCAAAACUGCCCUAGAUUGAACUCUCUACAAUGCCAUAUAUUUUUUAUGAUAAUUCCUGACCUAUUGAUUGAGUUCUCAGUCUUAGAUUGUUCACAAUACCUACAUGAGCAUAUACUUACACACCUAUCACACCUUUGUUUAAUUAGAAACACUCUCUAAUAACAUUGUAUUUAUCCUGUAGGAUUACAAUGAAUAUUUCAGGGAUCUCAAUCAUAUAUGUGUUAUCAGUGAGAAUGGAAAACAAAAGUAUGCCACUGGAUCCUAGGGAAAACAGCUGUUAUCUACAGACUGCCCAUAAUGGUUCAUUCAAUCCAGAAGACCUUUCCAUUGAAAACCCAACCAUGAUAAAACACUCACAUCCUUGGACUUCAUAAUCUGGUCAAAUACAAAAUGAUUUUCUAGUGAAUCAGCACCCAUCAUAUUUCUCGCAGAAACAUCGCGAUCUAUUGUAAAACCAAAGUCUUUAGAGAACUUCUAAUAAAAUGUAGCAAAACCUCACAAGAA